rnacentral:lncRNA from 1 species
UCAAAGUUUAAAGGAAUUAGGGGUUUUUGUGCCCCGUUCGUCAUUUGACUGAUCGAUCGGACAAAGGGGAAAUGAACGAAAGCAGACGAACGGAGAGAGGGAAGCACGAAGGCUUGCAGGCUUGAUGUUUCAUCGAUCGGUCGCGAGAAGGAUCGUCUCCGAGGGUCGAUGAGGCCGAAGGGACGGAAGGGUGAAGCAGCGAGGCUGAUGUGGAGUUGGCGAAAGGAAGUGGAAAUGAGGUGGAAGAGAACAAUGCGAGGGGAGAUGCGAGGGACAAAGGAGGUCCGAUGGGAGUCCGGUCGACAACAAUACGUCGCAGGUGAGGGCUUCGGUGGGUUUUGCUCGACCGGAGGAGGUGUGGGAUGCGAUGGGGAAAACGAUCAACAACAGCACCGCAGAUGGUAGGAUUUGGCAGUGAAGGUUGACGGGAAAGGAGGGAUGGAGGGGAUAGCCGAUCUCCGGCGACUCCCUUCCGCUGUUUCCUCUUCUUUUUGCCGGCAGUGGAGUGGUGCAGCAACAGCAGUGGUCGAAGGGGUUUUGGCUUGGUAUUGUUCGAUAAUCACAGGUUUUCCUUUUUUUUUUUUUUUUUGAUAAUUCCGAUAAAAAAUGUUCAAGAGGAAUAGAAACAUUUUUUGUUUGUUGUUUGACAGGAGAAAGAACGAAGACAUCAGUGGGUUUUUUUUUUUUUUUUUUUUGAUUUGUUGUGAUCGACGAGAAGGGAGGAAAAGAAACGAGGCGGUUCUUGUUUGCAGGGAGUCAGGAGAACAAAAACAAAAGUGUUCUUGACUGGUAAUGGAGAUGCAGGUAGAAAAUAAAGAAUCAUUAAAUUUUCAGUUUAGAUUUCCAUUGUUGGUGGUUGUUUGUGAAUCUAGCAUUUGUGAUCAUUUGUUGAUUUUUAUCAUUGUACAUGGUGUAGGUUAUGUUUGAGUGUGGUCUUGGUUGAAGGAAGAGUGAGCAAGCUUGAGAAAGGCCUACAUAUUUCUUUUGUGUGUAAUUUUAGAUGUUUAAGAAUUAAUAGCUGUCAUUUACGUAUAAUAUGUGUAUUUUGUGUGAAAUUUGUAAAUAAUCAAUUUUCCCAAGUAUUAUGUGUAUGCAUUGAUAUAUUAAUUUAAUUAGGCAUUUAAUUUCUGUAUUAUUGAAAAUUAGAUGGUAGAGAAAAUGAUAAAAUUUAUGUAAAAAUAAUAUGCAAUAACAUAUGGUUGAAUAUUUGUGUCAAAGUUUAUAAUUUAUGGUAUCAAAAUGGGUAAUGUCACACUUAUGACAUUUAAAGCGUUACAAAAACAGUUUAUUUCGAUUUGGGUGUCAUUGAUCUUGAUAUUAAAUAAUUUUUAUGAAAUGGUGAAUGGUAGAGUUUAGUUUAAAGAUUUCAAAAAUUCAAAUGGAUAAAUUUUUCAAGUUAUAUAACUUCGGGAAAUCAUUUUUAAAGAUUCGAGUUUAAUUAAUCCAAAAGUGGCUGGUUUUUUUUUUUUUUUUUUUUUUUUUUUUUUUUUUUUUUUACUUUUAUAAAAUUUUUUAUUAAAAUAUUUUAAGUAUGAAAUUAAAUAAUAGACUAUGACAGGAGUUCAAAAACGUUCUCAUAAUUUCCACCCGAGGUCUGCUAGUCUUUCAACGAAUAGAAACAGUUUUGACAGUUUUAAGAAAAACAGUAUUAUAGUGGUUUUUGAUUCUUAAAACGGUCGUAUCUUUUGCUUACGAACUCCGUUUUGGACGUUCUUUAUAUUUUCAGAAACUGAGAACACGUACUACAAGACUAGAGUGUUUGUAUUGCUCACAACCACUUAAUACGAAAUUUCAGUUUUUUAGACGCAUUAACUAUGUUUGAUUUUUUACCAGAUUACAUAUUUGGAAGUAAGAUACCAUAUGAUAUCUUAUAAUAGUUGAAAUGAACUCAUUUAUUUUACAAAAGAUUCACUAAAACGCAAUGAAUCAAACUACAAAGAGAUUUACUAUGAACUUGACCGUUCAUAGUCUUUGACCUAAAUUUCGGGAUGUCACAAAAUGGGUCUAAACCUAUCUUUCAACAAAGCCCAAAGUCUUAUAAUAAUUGAUCUUCAGGUCACUGCCCCGAAUUAAGAAGCGACUCAAAACAGGAUGUUACGACUCUCCCCCACUUAAAUUAGAUUUCAUCCUCGAAAUCAUUCCUUACUACCUUUCAGGAACGGGCUAAACGUCGACUCAUACACACGACGACCCUCCAAUGGUAUAAUCGAAACCCAAAAUUUGCAGAAUUCAGAUACCCAUACGACAAACAAAUCCCUUACCUACUCACUUAAACCAAUGAAAAAUAACCAUUGCUACUCAGCCCAAAAUCCAGGAAUCCAAAACCUUGUCUGACUUUCCGACAUAUAAAACCAUUUUGAAACAUAGACAAUAUGACUACACAUCGUCAUCCAAACCGAACGAAUUCCUUUUGACCUUGAAUUAUCUUCCUAAUACCACUGAAAAAUAGAAUCCCUUACCAUUCAUCGCUAUUGAAAAGAUCUUUCGCAGAAAACAAAGGUGACUCCUAUUGUGAGUCUCAACCUAAUAUCUAAAGAUUCACAUACUACCAGGCAUAUCUAGGUGCCCGACCUACCCCACUGAGCAUACCUAGGUGCUCAAACCACCCAUGUUAGGCAUACUGAGCUGCCCAACCUACCCCUGUCAGACACACCGAGGUGUCUGACCUACCCCUACUAGGUAUAUAUGGGUUCCCGACCUAACCUCCAGUUUAUCUCAACCGGUUACGGGGACUAUUUCACCCCUACCACUACCACAUAAUAACAUAUUAUAAACAUAUUGUCAGGCAUACAUGGGGUGCCCGACCUACCCAUGUCAAGCAUAUCUGGAUGCUCGACCUACCCUCCGGUUUAGAUCAACCGACUACGGGGUCUAACGUAGCCCUCCUACCACUAUCACACAACAUCAUAGCAUACUAGCACAUAAAUCAUAACAGAUAGUGGCAUACCAGACAAUUAUCACAAAGAAAAUCAUCUCUUCUAUAAUCAACUACUAGUGGGUCGACAUUGGUGCCUUCGACCCACUUCUAUUGGAAGGUAACUCACCUCAUACUGCUGAAGUCCACUGCAAGAGUUCCUUAGCUGCUGCCCUGGAAACUCCUCGAGCUAUCAAUACCCAAAACAUCACACAAUUAGCAAUUGGGUUUUAAACCAUUAUCCAAAACCCUUACUUGGGGUGAAAUGACCGUUUCACCCCCCGACCCAUCGAGUUACAUACUAUAUAAUCCAUGAAAGCCUAUUAAUGGCCCGAUUUUCCAAAUUGGGCCCAAACCCUUACAUGGGACUCCCCUUUAGAGUCUAUUAUGUACUUCAUAACACUCCAAGGGUCAACCUUGGUUAAAGUCAACGUCAAAGUAAACAUUCUGGUCAAAGUCAACAUCCUAGCUCGACUCAACUCGUAGAGUUCACCACUUCAACUUGCUGAGUUCCAAAAUCAUAAAUCCCCGAAAUCGCGUCCAACUCAUCAAGUUCUCCUCUAACUCGUUGAGUUCUUUCCUAUAACAGGAUCGAGAUUUUUCCAUACAACUCAUUGAGUCCUUCCUUGAACUCUUCGAGUUCUUCAUUCUUCAGAACUCAGAAAACCUUGUCCAACUCAAUAAGUCAUCUUCUAGACUCUUCGAGUUGCUCAGAAAUCCGAAAGGUCAGGGAACCACGAUCCAACUCGUUGAGUUGGAUGAUCAACUCGUCGAGUCCCCUUAGUCUUAAUCUAUUCAGUCACUUUCCAUUGAGUCCAACACUUCCAAACCAUAAAUCUGGUCCCCUAAGGCUAGAAUAUCAUGUAAAUUUUCUAAUUUUACGCCAUGCAUGGUGUCAAGAAGCUAAAAACACCAAAACUAAGCUCCAAAAGUGGUCUAUGGCAUAGGGAAGGGCCAAGACUUUAUAAAGUUGGAAAUUUUCAGUCUCAUGAGGCCACGAACGUCUAGAUCUGAAGUCAUGACCUCAAAGCAUGCUCAAAUCCAAGAAUGGUUUCAAAAACAAGCUACUAAAAGCCCUAAACUCCUCCAUGAAGAGAUCUAGCCAAUGAAUAGUCAAGGUAUAGACUUUAUACCUUAAUAUGGCUGGCUUAACAGAGAAAUCCCUCGAUCUAAAGCUUCUUCCUGAUAUGUAAUUAAAUCAAAAUUUAUUCGCUUUUGCGUAGAAACUCGACGAGUUGGAGGCCCCAAACUCGUCGAGUUUCUGCUACCUUGACAACUCCUCGAGCUACCAAUACCCUAAACAUCACCCAAUUAGCAAUUGGGUCUCAAACCAUGAUCCAAAACCCUUACGUGGGGUGAAAUGACCGUUUCACCCCGACCCAUCGAGGUACAUACUAUAUAAUCCAUGAAAGCCCAUUAAUGGCCCAAUUUUCCAAAUUGGGCCCAAACCCUUACAUGGGACUCCCCAUUAGAAUCCAUUAUGUACUACAUAACCCUCCAAGGGUCAACCUUGGUCAAAGUCAACGUCAAAGUCGACAUUCUGGACAAAGCCAACAUCCCGGGUUGACUUAACUCGCCGAGUUGACCACUUCAACUAGCCGAGUUCCAAAAUCAUAAAACCCCGAAAUCACGCCCAAAUCAUUGAGUUCUCCUCUAACUCGCCGAAUCCUUCCUUGAAUUCGCCGGGUCCUUCAUUCUUCAGAACUCAGAAAACCUUGGCCAACUCACCGAGGCAUCUACUAGACUCAUCGAGUUGCUCAAAAAUCUGAAAGGUCGGGGAACCACGAUCUAACUCGCCAAGUUGGAUGAACAACUCGUCGAGUCCGCUUAGUCUUAAUCCAUUCAGUCACUUUCCAUCGAGUCCAACACUUCCAAACCAUAUAUCUGGUACCCUAAGGCCGGAAUAUCACGUAAAAUUGCUAACUUUACGUCCAUGCAUGGUGUGAAGAAGCUAAAAAAACCAAAAUUGGGCUCCAAAAGAGGUCUAGGGCAUGGGUAAGGGCCAACAAUUGAUAAAUCUGGCAACUUUCAGUCUUAUGAGGCCACGAAGGUCUAGAUCUGAAGUCAUGACCUCAAAGCAUGCUCAAAUCCAAGAAUGGUUUCAAAACAAGUUACUAAAAGCCCUAAACUCCUCCAUGAAGAGAUCUAGCAAAUGAAUAGUAAAGGUAUAGAAUUUAUACCUUAAUAUGGUUGCCUUAACAGAUAAACCCCCGGAUCCAAAGCUUAUUCCUUCAACCAAGCACCUCCAACUUCAACUCCUUCAAGAAAAUACCAAAGACUCACUCUCUUUUCACUCCUACACACUCAAGAAGGCUCAAGCUCACGAAUUAGGGUUUUGCUGGACUGAGGGGGCGAUGAGGGAGGCCACAAUGAGGCAUUAAGGUCCUUAAAUAGGGUAUAAAACCAUGAAAUUAGGGUUUCAUUUCUGCCAGCCUACUCGUCGAGUAGACUUUACAACCUGCGUCCAAUUCCUUUCCUACUCGAUGAGUUUGGGGCCUCCAACUCGUCGAGUUUCUACGCAGAAGUGAAUAAAUUUUGAUUAAAUUAUAUAUCAGGAACCGGGCGUUACAACAAACCCUUCAGGCUGAUUCAUAUAAAUCUGUUCAUCUAGUUCACCAUACAAGAAAGCAGUUUUCACACCCAUUUUGUGUAUUACCAAAUUGUGAAUGGCUGCAAUUGCUACCAAUGUACGAAUUGAAGUAAUUCUUGUAACAGGUGAGUAGUUAUCAAAGAAUUCUUGACUUUCCUUUUGACGAUGACCUUUAACUACUAAACGAGCUUUGUACUUUUCAAUGGUACCAUCAGGUCUAAACUUCUUCUUGAAUAUCCAUUUGUGCCCAAUUGGCUUUUGCCCAGGUGGAAAAUCUACCAAUUUCCAUGUGUUAUUGUGCAAAAUGGAAUCAAUAUCACUUUUGAUGGCCUUUUUCCAAUAAGGAGCUUCAAAAGAAUCUAUAGCAUCCUAAUAAGUUUGUGGUUCUUUAUUCAUUACAUAGGUCAUGUAAUCAGGUCCAAAAUCUUUAUCUAUUUUGCCCAAUUUGCUUCUUCUAGGUUCUAAGUUCUCUUCUUGAACCUUUGAAGAACUCUCUUCAUUUGACUAUAAACUUCUGUCAAGAAUGAGUUCAUUCAGUCCAUCAUCUAGAAGUCUUUUCGUAGAGCAGGUAACCUCUUUCCCUUUGUCCUUGAAACGAAAAAUAUUCUUAAAGAAUUCAACCUCUAAUGAUUCCAUGAUUGUUUGAUUAUGGAUAUCAUCAACAUGUGAUUAUACACUAGAAGCCUAUAGGCUUUACUAUUCAUGGCAGGGCCAAGACAGAUGCAAUCUAUAGUUUUUGGUCCAAGUUUAGUCCUCUUAGGAAGAGGUGCUUGUACCUUAGCAAGGCAACCCCACACUUUCAUCCUUUUGUAAAAGGGUAAUCUCCCUUUCCACAAAUAAUAAGGUGAUUUAUCACUCUUUUUAUGAGGAAUUUUAUUAGUUAUUGAAUUUGCUGCAGGACAUGCUUCUCCCCACAAAUUAUGUGGUGCUACAGAAGUAAUUAACAUUGAAUUAGUCAUGUUUUUCAAUGUUCUAUUCUUUUUUCUGCCACUCCAUUUUUUUGAGGAGUAUAUGGAGCAGUUGUUUGAUGUAUAAUACCAUUUAAAGAACAAAAUUCAUUAAACUCUUUAUAUUCAUAUUCUCCUCCACGACCAGACCUUAGAAUUUUGAUCUUUUUGUCAAGUUGAUUUUCAACUCCAGCCUUAUAAUUUUUAAAAGAAUUCCAUGCUUCAUCCUUGGUAUUUAACAAAUAAAUAUAGCAAUACUUGCGGCAAUCAUCAAUAAAGGAAAUAUAAUAAUUCUUUCCCCCUCUUGUAGGUGUUGCUCUAAAAUCACAUAAAUCAGAGAGGAUUAAGCCAAGUAUUUCAUUAGAUCUUUCAACUGAUUUCUAAGGAUGUUGUGAGAAUUUUGAUUCUACACAAACUUCACAUUUUAUGUAUUUAUCUAAUGAAUAUUUUGAUAACAUGCCAAGUUUUGACAUUCUUUGAAUAGAACGAAAAUUGAGACGUCCCAAUCAAGAAUGCCACAAAAUUGAAGGAUCAGUUAUAUACAUAGAAGAUGGGCUAGUAGUGCCCAUUAUUGCAUUAGCAUUAAUAUUGGUUACAUCAUUGUUUGGUGUUUUAACACCAUAUUACAAACGUAAGACACUGACUUUGAAGAAACCCUCAUUAAGAUAUCCCUUUCCAAUAUACAUCCCACCCUUGGUGAGAACAAACUUAUCAGACACAAAUACAAGUUUGAAUCCCUUUCUACUAAGAAUAGGACCAUAAAUCAGAUUCUUAGUAAUUUCAGGAACAUGCAAGACAUCACUUAAAACAAGUUCUUUUUCAGAAGUCAUUUGUAGCUUCACUUUUCCCUUUCCUUCAAUUUUUGCAGUAGAUCCAUUCCCAUAAACAUUGGUUCAGAAUCAAAGACUUUACGCUAUGUAGAGAACAUGGUUUAGGAGUUGAAAAUGUGCCUUGUGGCUCCCGUAUCAAUCCAGCAAUCUACAUAAUUGCUAACCAUGUUGGUUUCAAUCACAACAACAAACUGAUUUGUAUUCAACCAUGUUGGUUUGACCAGAAGUUCCUCCACUAUAGUUACCACCAUUUUUCCAAUGUUCCCUCCGUUGUUUCCUCCUUGACCCCUCUUGAAUUAGUAAUCUUUGGCCUUGUGUCCAGUUUUACUACAAACAUAGCAUGGACCAGAAUUCUUCUUGUUUAGGCCAUGAUUUUUGCCAUCUUUGGAAAAGUUUUUGGAGCCUUGCUUCGCUUUCUUGUUGUUACGCUUAGUCCUUGAAAUACUUGCUUCUCCAACAAAGUUUUCACUUGGUUCCAAGGAAUUUGCAUCUACCUUCUCAUUCAAUCUAUUAUCUUCUUCCACGCGAAUUCUCAACACAAGUUGCUCAAAACUCAUGUCAUCAGUUAAUUGCUUAAGAUAUAGUUUGAAAUUCUUCCCUGAAGGAGGAAGUUUUUAAAUAAUUGAACCAACAAAAAAAUAGAUUUAAUUCUCAUACCUUCAACUUCAAGAUCAUGUGCAAUAACUUGAAUUUCCUCCACUUGUUUGAGGACGGUUUUGGUAUCCACCAUCUUGAAAUUCAUGAACUUUCCAAUCACGAAUUUCUUGGAACAUGUCACUUCUGUUUUGUACUUCUUUUUCAAUGAUUCCUAUAUCUCCUUUGCAGUAGUCAUGAUAGAGUAGAUAUCAUAGAUGGUAUCAUCCAGGACAUUCAGAAUAUAAUUUUUGUAAUUAUACUCAUUUGUGUUCCAAGUUUCCACAGCCCUUUGAUGUUCUGCCAAUUGGGUUGUAAUGGGUGGUGUUGUUCCUUCUAUAGUGGUUACACUAGUAAGAGGAGGAGGAGAAUCAUCAGUGAGAACAUUGGAAACAUGAAGAGUUGUUAAAUAAAACAACAUCUUCUAUUGCCAUCUCUAAAAAUCUAAGCCUUUGAAUUUAUCAAACUUUUCCACAUGUGUUUUGAUGAUGAAUUGUUGAUCCAUUCUUUCACUUUUUGAAUUAUGUCUUAGAUUAGUAUUAUAAAGGUAAUCAAAUAUGAAAUUAGACAAACAGAAACAUAAUUAAAUCGAAUUUAUAUAUAUCUAAGAUUCACAAAUUAGAAAACAUACUUGAAUGUUGAUGUAUACAAUAGAAAAUAGAAACUCAAAAUUGUAGAUUGAGGUAUGCAAUUGCAGUGUCCUAAGAUAGAAAUUUCCUAGGUAGGGAUUUGUCUAGAGGAUACAACAAUCUGAUCAAGAUUGAAUCUUGAUCUUGACGAAAUUUCUUCAUGCUUCCUUGAUUUCCCAGAAAAACGAGAGCGAAAGAAAGUGGUGUUAUUGUGUAUCUGAUUCAACCCUUUUAAUUUGUCACUUGAUCAUCUUUUUAUUGUCUGUCAAAUAGCAGUUAAUAACUACCAACCAUCAUACAUGUUACAAAACCGAAAUUAACUGCCUAAUUAACUUCCACUCAGUUAAUCAACAAUUAACAAAUUUUUAAUUAAAACAUCAAUUUCAAAAUUUGUAUAUAUAAAAACUUAAUUAAUUAGUCAAGAAGAGCCCAAAGGCCCAUGGCCAUCUUUUGAGCAUUAAUUAUAUUUAAUAAAAAACCUAAUCCAAGACUAAUUUGAUAGCCUAAUACUACCAUUCUAGCCCAAAUUCCUUUUUGUCUUAUUUUAUCCAUUUAAGAAAAAGUGGAGACAAAGGUUUAGAAAGCUAGUCAAGGUUUUUUCUUUCUCCAACGUGGGAUAAUACUUUUCUGCUAUAAGCAAAGUUCCAAAAAUAAGCUAUAACAGUUUAUCAUCUUUACGAAAAUUAUUAAAAAUGUGUUAAUUACAUUAAUCAAGUAUUUUUCAUUUUUGUUUAAUUUGUUUUUUCAUUUUUUGGUUAAUUUGUUUUUCAUUAUUGAAGGAAAUGUUUUUAUUAGUAAUAGCUAGCUAAUUUUUAGAAAAACAAAUAAGAAAAUGGUCGUAUCCUUAUUUGGAAACAAAGAUAAAAAAAGAUCAACAGUUUGCAAGGUUUCGUAACAAUAUUUUUAUCAUCUAAAAAAUUGCUUUCUGAAAAUAGAAGAGCAGUAUAAUCUCAAGGGUUAGCAAAAAAUGCAAGCAUUAGAUAGAGAGCUGAACCAUUCCACCAAAUAAUUUUGACCUUUCGACGCUUGUUCUUAAUCCACACAAAGGAAGAAAAGCCUCGUUUCAUAUGAUCUUGAUACACCAAAGAGAAGUCAAGAUUUGAUUGUUUAGGGAUUUAGCCACUCGAAGAGAGAUCUUAAGUUCUUUCAUGUAUGAAAAAUGCUUGUGGAUACUAAAAAAAUCAAGAAGUUGAAGAUCGCACCACUUCCAAACUUUGCUCUAAAGAUCCUUCGCUAGAGAACAUUUGAAAAUCAAAUGGGCCAAGGACUCAAUACAAAAAUUUUAUAGAAGGUAAUGGGAGUAGUACACAUCGAUACAUUUUCUUACAAGAUUAUAUUUUGUUGGAAGUAUAUUAUGCUACAUUUACAAUCUUAAAAUACUCACUAUAGUAGACAUCAUCCCAUUGUCCUACACCAUAUGUUACAACCCACUAAUAGAUAAAGUAAAAACAUGCCAUAUUUGGUUUAUUUCCAGUCAAGUACUCUUUUAGAAUUUUAUCUUUGAUAUUUGUAGUUGGGCAAUGGUUAAUGGUGUGCACUAGCGAAAAUCUAAGUAUUUGUUUUUCGAAAAUUUGAUUUUUUUUCCACAUAAAAUUCUUUAAAGUUUUGUGUUGAUUUCUUGUGUGCUUACAUUUUUCUAUUAAUGUAUCAUGGGUUACAAUCAUAUAAAUAGAUGGUUUAUGAAUAUGAAGGUCAAUGUUGGUAAAACUAAGAUACAUCAUACACCAUUUAACGAGUAGAACGAUGAGGUUAUUCCACACCAGAACGUUUGAAUAUGGGUGGACGUACCUCAAUGUAUUAGGGAGGAGGGAAUCCUUCCCUUUCAACCCACUCAACCCACCGCCACAUCAGCUUUUUUUUGUAUCUUUCUCUUCUAUCUUUCUCAACCCACGACACAUGGAAACCCUAUCUUUCUCAACCUACUCAACCUAUUUGCCACAUUAUUAUUUUUUAUUUAAUUAAAUUAGAAAAUAUAAAAAAUAAAAAAUAACAUUUUUUUCUUUAAAAAAACUUUUGUUAAUUUAAAAAAAAUCUAAAAUAUUUAAAAAAAUCAUGCAUUAAAAAUAUGAAAUGUGUACAAAAUUAUAUAACCUAAAAACAAAACAAAACAAAAAAAAAAAAGACGAAUCACGUGAAUCACAUGCACGCUUUUAAUAUUUAUAUGCAAAUUAUUAUCAAGGUCUCAAUUUGUUUGUUUUGAAAUUAAUUACAUUGCUGAGUGUGUAAAGAAGAGAAGAAAGAGAAUUUAGAAAGAGAUAGAAGAUGCAACAGCGGUUUGUAAAGCCCACACAAAAGCUCCAAAAAUGAACCCGCACAUGUCACGGAAGCAUAACUUGGAGGUACCCACGGUACCUCCCCCAAAAAACCAAUGGUUCCGUGCUCCCUUAUGUAGUAAUUAAGUGCCAUAAUCCAUGUCACAAUGUAAGAAAUUGCAAUGGUCAAGGAUGUAUGAGUGAAUGUUUAGUGGGUAAGGAGUGCAGGAUGGAACGGGGAAGGAAAAAAGGAAAACAUAAUGCAUGAGAAAGUAAAAACAUAUUUUUUAAUUGGGAAGGUAUUUUAGCUUGUGUUGGUUAAUCUAAUUAUUUACUUAGCUUAUGUAAUAUACGAGACUUUAUAACUAGUAUGAAAUGGGGGUAGUCAUAAAUGUAUUUGGGGACACUAAUAUGUUAUGUUUGUCACCUAUUUUGGUUGUUAUUUUGAUUAAUAUAACACCCCAUUUUUGUAUGUGUCUAUUGUGUUACGAAAUGUGCAAAACAUUGGCAAUCAUUAUGGUUGGUUAAUACAAAACAAAUAUACACAUCUAUUUUAAUGUUACACAUAUGUUUACAUUGUACAUAACCAUUUCAAUGAUCAAAAGCAUUUCAUAGUACACCAGGUUUCAAUGAAUAAAACCAUUUUAUAAAAUAUGUUGUGGUAAGAGAAAUCAAAUAAAAAAACCACACAUAUUUUCAUUAAACCAUAUGAGUAUAUCCAAAAUACUAUCCAACCCAUACCAAACGUACAAACCAUAACUUAAUACCUAAAAGAACAAAAACAUAAUACCAACAACUAAUAAGAACAAUAUCACAUCUUCAUUAAAAAUGAAAAAUAAGAAAAACAGAGCUUGCAAACAAUAUCACCAUGUGCAUGUUUUCUUAUGAAAUAGCUUGAAGCACAAUAUCUUAGAUCACAUUUAUUAACCUUCAAACCAACCAAUAGAAGUGCACAUGGAGUUGGUCUUUAAACAUCCCUAGAAACAUCACCAAUAGACGUGCACAUGGAGUUGGUCUUUAAACAUCCCUAGAAACAUCCAACAAGGAUUAUUGUUGGUUUAAAAGUUAAGGAUGAUCACAUGUCGUUAAUAACUAUAAAUGAAUAAUAUUUUCGUGGAGUGGAAAACGGUGAAUAAAAUACAUGAAAGGUUAAAGGAUGGAGAAUGACUCACACACUUUAAUAUAUACUAGCCGUUUACCCGCGCAAAGCGGCGGACGACAAAUAGUUUGUUUCGACAAUUAAUUUCUUUUCGAUGGAGAAUGAUUAUUUUCAAUUCAAUCAUUAGUUUGUUUUAGGAAACAUGUCAUAUUAAAAAUAAAGAAAAAUCAUGAAAUGAUCAAAUUAUAGGGUGUUAAGUAUUUAUUUGGAUGAAAAAGAUCUGGUCAAAACCUUGGAAGAGAGGAUUUAUAGGAGUUUGUUUAAAUUUUAAUAUUAUUUUAUUAGUGAUUAGUUGUACAAUUAGCUUAAUGAUUUGGACGUCUUAAAAAAAUAUUAUUAUUUUAUUCAAUCUAAUUUUAGAAAUAGUGGGAUUUGUUUUAUAAGAUAGUAAAGAUAUAUAUNUAUAUAUAUAUAUAUAUAUAUAUAGGGUUAGGAUUAAAUGUAAACUACAAAUAUUGUGUGAACGUAUGAUAACUUUUUGCCCAUUGGAUUAAAUGAACAGAUGAUGUUGAUUGAUGAUACAUGUUAUUAACAUGGGAUAACAAUUAUUAUAUAAUUACACAUAAUUAAAUGAAACAAUAUAUUAGUUAAAUUGUUUACAAUUUAAUUAGGAAAUGGCAAAUUAUCAUGAUACAUAUUACACUUUAAUUUUAUCAAAACAAUUUUGUUUGUAAUUAUCACAAAAAAUAUUGACUUAAAAAAACUCAUGUUUCGUUCUUCAUUAUUUAUAAUGAACAAAGAAAAAAAAAUGCAUUCUUUUAAAAUGAAUAUAUUCUUGUUUAAUAUAGAUUUACAAUAUAAGUUUAUGUAUUCCUUGUAAACUUGUAGAGCAUUCUUUUAGAAUCUAAUGUUUCCCAUAACAAGAACUUGUAGUUAGAGGCAAAGAAACACAUAUUCUUAAAGAAUGUAAAACUAUAAUUUUUACACAAUUCAAUUUCCUUUCUUGAAUAAUAAUUUUUUAUUGUGUAUUACUUCAACAUUUCCGAUACAAUUCAAUUUCCAUUCUGAUUAUUCUCAUUUUCGAAAAUGAGUCAUGAAUUACGCGUUCAUAUAUGAUAUUCUUUAAGAAAAACAUUUACAUUCUUGAAAAAAAUAUUCUUGAAGAAUAAAAAUUAAAUAAAAUUAGAUAAAGUUCCUAAAGAAUAAUAUAAUAUUUUUUAAAUAAUAAAAUAUAUUCUUAAAGAACAAUACAUGUCCAGUAGACAUUCUUCUUCGGUUUUGAUGCAUUUUGAUAGUAAUAACUUGUUCCCAUUUUGAUGGUGUAGACUUUAAUACUUAAAGAUACAACAUCCCUGUGCAACCAGAUGUAGAAAAAAUACAGAAAAUAUUAUACGUGAAAAAGGGUUAAGAAUAAUGAAAAAAAAAACUCAAGAUUUCAUAAUUUGAAACUUUUACAUUUAAGUGCAUAAUUAUAAGAAUAAUGGAAAAGAUUUCAAGAUACAUGUAAUAACAAUGAAACAAAGAGAUAAAAGCAUACAUAUCAAAGAAGAUAUGCAGAGAAACAUUGAAACUCUGGUCUUAAAUUUUUAACCAAAUUUAAUACCGUUGUAAUUUGAUCUUCCAUCGGAGCAGCUACUCACUGAAUAAUCAGACCUCAUCAUUCAUCUUCAAAAUGGAUGCAAAUCCAUAGAUAAACAUACUAGUUUAAGCAUAAAUUCAAGUCAAUUGGUACAAAUAGUGCUACCUAAUUCUCAAAGAAAAAAAAGAUAUAAUAGAUUAAUGUAGAAUACAUCGAAACAUGAAUUUCUCAUUGCACUAACCAUUCAUAAGGUUGAUGGUUGUUCACCCCAUUUUUAAAAUAUUUCCAAACCCAAGACACCAUUCUUUCAUAUGGGAUCUCUUAAAAAUACAAAUAUCCGGAUCCAAGAUACCACCUAAAAAGGUUAAUUUCCAAAAUAAAGAAAUACAUGAACAUCUUUUAACCACCUUAUUCUAGAGCUCUUGAAAAAAAAUCACAACACAAGAUCAAACGAAAAAGAUUAUAAAAGAAAGAAGUUGUGUAUGAAAUAAUGGUUAAGAGAAAAGUCAAACUAUCAUUCUAUUAAAUCUAUAAUCUCCAAGAUUUUUAUGUUCUUUUUCUUAAAUUCUAAGUAGCUUGAUAUGUAUUUAAAAUCUCAUAACCAACCAUUUGACCCACAAUUUUACAAACCUUACAUAAACGAAUAUCCAUUAACAAACAUAUUUGUUUAAGUGUUAAUUGAAGUCAAAUCACUACGAAUAAAGCUACCAGAUUCUCAAAAGGAAAAUAGACAAUAGAUUAAUAGAGAAUGCAUCUAAACAUUGUAAAUCAUAUGAAUUUCUUUGUUUUGAUCACAAGAAUAUAAACAGAUUUUAGAAUAUAAUUAGAUUUUAAAGAAAAAACCUUGACAUUAAGAUUUUUGAGUCGGUACCUUAUUUACUUUUGAGUCGCAAUUCAACAUCAUAAAUGAAAAACUAGGGAUUCCUUUUUAAUUGUGUGUCUCUAUUUGUUCGUUCAACACCCACCCAGAUAAACCAUAUGAAUAUUUUUAUUUUGAUCACAAAAAUUCUAAGAGCAAAUUUUAGAAUAUAAUUAUUAGAUUUAGAAGAAAAAAACUUGACAUUAAGAUUUUUGAGUUGGUACCUUCUUGAGUUUUGAAUCACAGAUCGGCAUGAGAAACUAAGAACAAUGGAUUCCCUUCCACUUGUAUGUCUGUAUGUGUUCGUUCAACCACCCAUUCUUCAAUCGAGUCUGAAUUAUUAGGUUGCAUGUUUCUUCCCCAAUCGAUAAACUAGGACCAAGUUCAAAGUAAGAAUUGAAGAAUAAAAUACCGAAAAAGGGCUCAAUUUCAAUUUAAUCGCAAGUGGUCUAGAGCGGAUGGUUAGAGGCAACCAUGGAUUCUAAGCGCUUGGAUUGGAUUUUGGAAGAACAAUAAACGAGUAAAUCAUAUAAUUAGGGAUUCAUUCCAUAAAUACAAGCUUAUAAUUUUGUCGUAUUAAAUUACUUAAUUAUUGAAUUUACCAAAAUAACACUAUCUAAUAAUUGGUUUAGAAUUCGCCAUAUAUUCACAUAAUAGAUAUGAGUUAUGUAUGAACCUAACUAUCUCUUUUUAUAUAUAUAUAUAUAUAUAUANUAUAUAUUGGUUAUAUAUAUAUAUAUAUAAUGUGUGUGAGAGAGAGUGUGUGUGUUAGGAUAAUUUGUAAACUAACAACUAUUUUGUGGAUGUCUAACUCUGUUUUAACUCCUAUUUUAACCAAUCAUUUUAAAAAUGCUUAUAAGUGCAUGAAUGUAACUAACUAAUUAAAGUAAUUAAUUACAUUCACUUAAUCCCCUUUAAUUUAGGUAACAAACAUUUACCAAGAUUCUAGCCCAUAAAUCAUGAAAUUCUUCUUAUUUACCUCCGAACUUUACCAAUACCUCUGCUCCGUCGAAUGCUUUCAGUGAAAGUGGAUUUACGUUGCAAAGAUAUCAUAUAGAGGCAAAUUCGUGAUUUCUCAUAAAGAUAUUGGUUUGUUUUUAAGUGGAUAUUUCUAGUUGAUCGUGACAUUGGUUGUGGAUUACUGGAUGCGUUGGGAAAUCUAUGGUGAAAAUUUGAAGGUAUAUGUCCUUUGCUUAGCAACUCAGUUUUCUUUGAAUAUGACUUUUCUGUCCGAUCAUAUUUUAUGCAUAUAUACAUUCUUGGUGAGUUUUCAUUAUGUCUAACAUGAUUUUUGGUUUCCAGUAGUUUCUAUAGUUAUUGCAUAGGAAAUAAAAAAAAAAAAAAAACCUUUUUAGUCCUUUUUUGGUGUUGAUUUUCUAAAUCAUUGAGAUUCCAAGUGGUUUGGAUAAAAAGGUUUCAAUUGUAAUUGUAUCGCUCGUGUUUUUCAUUAAAGCCUCUUGUAGAAGAAUCAUAAUUUAUGUUAUUAAAUUAAUAUAAAAUUUAUUAUAUAUAACUAAAUAAAUGAUUCUUCAUACGUGAUAUGUGUUUACAAAAUAUUAGUUGUAUAUGAUUACUGUGUAUACGUUAUAUGGGUAAACAUAUAAAUAUACAUGAAUAGUAAUAGUUUGAUUCUUUAAAAUACUGUAAAAUUUUAUAACAUGCUUGUUAUAAUAUACAAUGUCACAUAAAAAUUAUAUAUUUUUUGUAUCAUAUAGCAUCUGUUUUGCGGACUAGUUAUUUCACAAUAAAACAACCAUAAUAUAUAUAUGAAAUGUUUAUACUAGUUUAUUUGUAACGAUAUGUUACAUUGUUAAACCACAUUUUUAUUCACUAGAAUUAUUGUAUUUUCGCAUAAAAGGAUAAUUUAUUUGUNUAUAUAUAUAUAUAUAUAUAUAAAUAAUAAAAGGGGCCAUAAGCACUCACCCUUGAAGCGUGAAUUUGAUUUGUAUAGAAUCGGUUUAUUUGAAAAUUUUGUAGUGAGAAACAACAAAGCCAAAAUUCUUCCAACUCCGAAAUAUUUUUAGGACCGUUUUGUUACGAAUUUAAACUAUCAGAUGUUGUUUGGUAAUUUAAUUAACCAAAAUAGGACUGCUUUGGUUAAAAUAAAUAAAAGGAGGGACUAAAAUUGUUUAAAUUGAAUUAAUGUUUGAGUCUUUGACUGAUAUUGUUAAGAAAUCUCCAUGGGAGGGGUUAUUUUGCUGUAAAUAAACCUAAGUUGGUGGAAAAGGGUUUAUUUAAAAUGAAUGUUUAGCAGGGGGGGUUUAUUGGUCAUUUUCUCAAAGUUUAAAGGAAUUAGGGCUUUUUGUGCCCCGUUCGUCAUUUGACUGAUCGAUCGGACAAAGGGGAAAUGAACGAAAGCAGACGAACGGAGAGAGGGAUGCAUGAAGGCUUGCAGGCGUGAUGUUUCAUCGAUCGGUCGCGGGAAGGAUCGUCUCCGAGGGUCGAUGAGGCCGAAGGGAAGGAAGGGAGAAGCAGCGAGGCUGAUGUGGAGUUCGCGAAAGGAAGUGGAAAUGAGGUGGAAGAGAACAAUGCGAGGGGAGGUGCGAGGGACAAAGGAGGUCCGAUGGGAGUCCGGUCGACAACAAUACGUCGCAGGUGAGGGCUUCGGUGGGUUUUGCUCGACCGGAGGAGGUGUGGGAUGCGAUGGGGAAAACGAUCAACAACAGCACCGCAGAUGGUAGGAUUUGGCAGUGAAGGUUGACGGGAAAGGAGGGAUGGAGGGGAUAGCCGAUCUCCGGCGACUCCCUUCCGCUGUUUCCUCUUCUUGUUGCCGGCAGUGGAGUGGUGCAGCAACAGCAGUGAUCGCAGGGGUGUUUGGCUUGGUAUUGUUCGAUAAUCACAGGUUUUCCUUUUUUUUUUUUUUUGAUAAUUCCGAUAAAAAAUGUUGAAGAGGAAUAGGAACAUUUUUUGUUUGUUGUUUGACCGGAGAAAGAAUGAAGACAUCAGUGGUUUUUUUUUUUUUUUUUUUUUUUUUUUUUUUUUUUUUUUUUUUUUNUUGUGAUCGACGAGAAGGGAGGAAAAGAAACGAGGCGGUUCUUGUUUGCAGGGAGUCAGGAGAACAAAAACAAAAAUGUUCUUGACUGUGAAUGGAGAUUCAGGUAGAAAAUAAAAAAUCACUAAUUUUUCAGUUUAGAUUUCCAUUGUUGGUGGUUGUUUGUGAAUCUAGCAUUUGUGAUCAUUUGUUGAUUUUUAUCAUUGUACAUGGUGUGGGUUAUGUUUGAGUGAGGUCUUGGUUGAGCUGUUUGAAUUGUUUGCUAGAUUACAUAUUUGGAAUAUUUGG